rnacentral:lncRNA from 1 species
CCCACGCUACAUCGAGUCCUGUUGAACAAUGGCUUCUGCUAAUGGCGCCGUGCUUCAGAAGGUGGUUCCUGUCGCCACCUGCAUCGCGCUGGUCCUGUUGUCCAUGGGUUCGCCGGCGAUGGCUGACAUCCAGGACGACUGCCGCCCAACUUGUGUUCCAAUCUGCCAAGGCUUAGCUACGAAUGUGUGCAAUGCCGUCAUCGAUCUCAUCCAUAUCCAGCUUCCUGUGGAUAUCUUCCCGACGUGCAAAGUGCGGGUCUCUGCAAUUUGUGAUCCCGUCUGUAUCAACGUAUGCAGCCUCAACACCCUGUCGCCUGGCGCCCCGACACCGGCGCCGGCCAGCACCGCCGCGCCACCACCAUGCAAGCCAUGAUGCUGCCUGCGUGUUACUUCUUAAAUAUUACUACUACAUAAUAUCUAUGUAAUAAAGUGUCCUAUAGCUCCGGGUAUGUGUGCCAACUGCCGGCCAGAUGAAGCGUGCCAGUAAUGCGUUGUCAUCAUGAGCUAAGCCUCAGAAUAUGUAUCUGAUCCGGUGUUUAAUGGGAGUAUAAAUUGCCCCCUUAUUGUUGUGGUUGUUUUCUAGUUACUCAUCUGUGUGUGCUGUACUCUAUACUCCCUGUUGGGGAACCGAUCUCCGUCUAACCCCAUCCCUGCCAAAGUGUUAAGUUCUUUGUCUUUCAGUGUCUAGAGUCUAAGACCUUGUACAAAGAUCGAAGGUGCUGUGGCCAGGGGUAGUAAUGGAUCAUGGCCUUCAUGCCUCCUUCACAAUUCAACUUAGCCCUAUUUAUUUUUAGUUCAAAAUCAUAUAAUAUUAUGACCCGAUUCUUA